GCCCCGGUGGCUUAGCCUGGUAGAGCAUCCGCCUUGUAAGCGGAAGGUCGAGGGUUCAAAUCCCUCCCGGGGCU
rnacentral:tRNA from 1 species